rnacentral:rRNA from 1 species
AGAACGAACGCUGGCGGCAUGCCUAAUACAUGCAAGUCGAACGAAGGCUUCGGCCUUAGUGGCGCACGGGUGCGUAACGCGUGGGAAUCUGCCCCUUGGUUCGGAAUAACAGUUGGAAACGACUGCUAAUACCGGAUGAUGACGAAAGUCCAAAGAUUUAUCGCCAAGGGAUGAGCCCGCGUAGGAUUAGCUAGUUGGUGAGGUAAAGGCUCACCAAGGCGACGAUCCUUAGCUGGUCUGAGAGGAUGAUCAGCCACACUGGGACUGAGACACGGCCCAGACUCCUACGGGAGGCAGCAGUAGGGAAUAGUUGGACAAGUGGGCGAAAGCCUGAUCCAGCAAUGCCGCGUGAGUGAUGAAGGCCUUAGGGUUGUAAAGCUUCUUUACCCGAGAUGAUAAUGACAGUAGUCGGAAG